rnacentral:rRNA from 1 species
ACUCAAAGGAAUAGACGGGGACCCGCACAAGCGGUGGAACAUGUGGUUUAAUUCGAGGCAACGCGAAGAACCUUACCAGGGCUUGACUUGCCCCUCGCGACUCCCAGAAAAGGGAGUCUUCAGUUCGGCUGGAGGGAGCACAGGUGCUGCAUGGCUGUCGUCAGCUCGUGUCGUGAGAUGUUGGGUUAAGUCCCGCAACGAGCGCAACCCUCAUCCUCUGUUGCUAACAGGUAAUGCUGAGAACUCUGAGGAAACUGCCGGUGAUAAGCCGGAGGAAGGUGGGGAUGACGUCAAGUCCUCAUGGCCCUUACGCCCUGGGCUACACACGUGUUACAAUGGCAGUGACAAUGCGUCGCCAACUCGCAAGAGUGCGCUAAUCGCAAAAAGCUGCCUCAGUUUGGAUCGUACUCUGCAACUCGAGUACGUGAAAUUGGAAUCGCUAGUAAUCGCGGAUCAGAACGCCGCGGUGAAUACGUUCCCGGGUCUUGUACACACCGCCCGU